UUUUUUUUUUAUGAUGUAGAAGAGAAAAGUAACUUGCCCUAGAUCAGUUUUACUCUCAUUUCAUUUCUUUUUUCACUGAACAGAAAGCAGAGGGCGGAGAAAUUAGGCUCUGGGAUUACAUUUCUUCAACUGCCAAUUCAACGGAUCAAAAUGUCAUAAAACCUCUCCGCAACUUAGGCUCCACCUCUUUCUCUUACGCCUCUGAAGCUUUUACCAAGAUCGGCAGCGUCGCCGUUCAAACCAUAAGCCACAACAUGUACGACCAAGAUACACGAUCCAACAUAGGCCAAUUUGCCACUAACAUUGCCAAGAACACUGCCGUUUUGGCCUGCAGCGAAGGUCUCAAAACUUUCCGUGGUGGAGACCCAAUUUUGGAGAUAAUCAGACGAUCUCUGCCUGGUUACAAGACAAGGAAGAAUCAUAAAAAUGAAAAGGUAAUGGAAUUAAAAAAUCUGAAUUAGAAGUUCAGAAAGAAAAGAUCAAGGAAUUGCGAUCAAGGAAUUGCAAGCUUUGGCAGACAAAAUGGGAAAAGAACUCAGCAGUUUUAAAAGAGAGUUUAAUCAAGCAGAGGCGCAUCCUGAGCUAGAUAAAAUGAAGCUAAAAACUAAGCUUCUGCAGCAGCAGGAAUCAGAACUUUCAUUUCAUGUCUGUCAAGCUUUGGCAGACAAAAUGGGAAAAGAAUUCAGCAGUUUUACAAGAGGGUUUAAUCAAGCAGACUUGCAUCAUGAGCUGGAUAAAAUGAAGCUAAAAACUAAGCUGCUGUAGCAGCAGGAAUCAGAACUUCUCCAUUUCAUGUCUGUUUGUGCUUUCUGUAGUCUCUAAAAUCUAUCUUUGUGUAAUUACUUUGAUGCAUCAGUGAUGAUAUGUUAUUAGUUUUACGGGACCUCUUGCUUUUAGUUCCAUCUUAUCUAAUUUUACCACCAAGCACUAGACCAAA